AUCUGCUCCAGCAUCAGCAGGAUCAACCACUGCUGUAGGCGGCACACAGUCAUUCCGACAGACCAUUUCACUCAUUAAUAACAAUUUACAUCCGUCGGAGAUGUGCAGUCGCAGGAUUACUCUGAUAAUAAAAGAAAGAUUGGUCGCGGAAGGGCACUGUUGGAAGACAGUGCCACAUGACACCAAGGAGUUUUAUUGGCAGGAAUUCAAGAAAUACUUCAUAUGGGACCAAGCAAUUGACAGCUUGGUCAAAAUUGCAUGGCAGAAAAAGGCAGCUGACAGAUA